rnacentral:SRP_RNA from 1 species
CCUUGGACCCCAUGCGGCGUUCAUCUCGUGAACCUCCCCAGGGCCGGAAGGCAGCAAGGAUAAGCGGGCUCUGUCGGGUGUGUGGGGUCCCCUUUUU